rnacentral:lncRNA from 1 species
GGCGGUUGUUCCGCGUGCGAUGGCGUCGCUGCUGCUCCAGCGCGCAGUGUUGUAUGUGGAGUGGAUGCUUGCACUGGUACAGUUGGGAAUCUUUCUGCUGUUGGGAGUUAAACUGAUGUUUUGUUGAGGUUUUGGACACCACAAAAGGGAACAUUGAGAAGCAGUUUAACAUCCAAAUCUCAAGAACAAGCAUUCUGGGGGGAGGCAUUCUGCAGUGGCCACAGCUAAAAGAAGUGGUGACUUUGAGGGACCACAACUUAAGAUGGACAACUCUGAUGGACUUUGAAAGUGGCAUGUACAGGCCAAGGCAGAGAUUGUGAUGUUAUCCAUUCAUCCUUAGCUGAGAGUCAAGAGGAAUGAGAUCAGAUUGAGCUGGAGAUGAUCCACUUUCUUCAUUCAGCUGAAGAUGAUCAGGGUGGGGACAGCAUCCUGUUAUACCGGUCACCUUUCUUCAGUGGCUCCCAGAACAAGGUCCUCGUUCACAGAAGAAGGAGCCUAACAUCUGUUACACUGUUGUAGCUGCAUGUGCCAAGAGAAUCGUGCUACCUGAAGAACUGUCCUGUGGCCAAUUCGAGUUCUACUUGACUUUUCACCUAGGCCAUUUCCACAUACAUUCCUCUUUUUACUCUAAAAUAAAAUCUCUAAAGCUAAAUAGAUGUGAGGUUUAAGGCUAC